GGCCGGGAGCGGGCGGCGCGGCUCCGGGGCCGGGCGGCGGCGGCGGCAUGGCGGAGAGCGAGGCCGAGACCCCCAGCACCCCGGGCGAGUUCGAGAGCAAGUACUUCGAGUUCCACGGCGUGCGGCUGCCGCCCUUCUGCCGCGGGAAGAUGGAGGAGAUCGCCAACUUCCCGGUGCGGCCCAGCGACGUGUGGAUCGUCACCUACCCCAAGUCCGGCACAAGCUUGCUGCAGGAGGUGGUCUACUUGGUGAGCCAGGGGGCCGACCCUGAUGAAAUCGGCUUGAUGAACAUUGAUGAGCAGCUCCCGGUCUUGGAGUACCCGCAGCCGGGCCUGGACAUCAUCAAGGAGCUGACGUCUCCCCGCCUCAUCAAAAGCCACCUUCCCUACCGCUUCCUGCCCUCUGAUCUCCACAACGGUGAUUCUAAGGUCAUAUACAUGGCUCGGAACCCCAAGGACCUGGUGGUGUCCUACUACCAGUUCCACCGCUCCCUGCGGACCAUGAGCUACCGAGGCACCUUCCAGGAGUUCUGCCGGCGAUUUAUGAACGACAAGCUAGGCUACGGCUCCUGGUUUGAGCACGUGCAGGAGUUCUGGGAGCACCGCAUGGACUCGAACGUGCUUUUCCUCAAGUAUGAAGACAUGCACCGGGACCUGGUGACGAUGGUGGAGCAGCUGGCCAGAUUCCUGGGGGUGUCCUGUGACAAGGCGCAGCUGGAGGCCCUGAGCGAGCACUGCCACCAGCUAGUGGACCAGUGCUGCAACGCUGAGGCCCUGCCCGUGGGCCGGGCACAUUGCCUCUUUGCUCAGAAGACCUCCUUUCGUUGGUGAGAACGCAGGGCUGGAGUAGCCAGCUGCAUUGCUUAGAUUUGAUUCAUAUCACAGCAUAAAUUGCACUGUCUUGAUUCCAAACCCUAAACCAGGAAGAGUCGGGCUGUGGAAGGACAUCUUCACCGUCUCCAUGAACGAGAAGUUUGACUUGGUGUAUAAACAGAAGAUGGGAAAGUGUGACCUCACGUUUGACUUUUAUUUAUAAUAACAGCAACAGCAAACUUGCAUGCUCACAAUACCCAGACACUCUACUAGCUAAAAGUCCCGUAUGCACUCAUUUGUUCCCUGCUGGACGAACUCCGGAAGCAGUGAGGCCCAGGGGAGGGAGGGAAGCAGCCGAGACGCCGGAGGGAGAGGGGCCCUGCUUCCGACCCAGAGCAGCUGUCUUGCCUUGGGGAUUGGAAGUCUCCACAUGUCUGAUUACAAACGUGGUAAAGAGCGCAGUUCUGAUGGCCCGUAUCAUCAGUAUAAAGUCUGUAACAUAUGCAGCUAGAAUGUCUACCUUUUACAACCCCACAUUAUUUAUUGUAUUUUAUAGAGCUUUUCACUGGAAAUUAAAUAAAUGUCAGUAAACCAAAUAAAAGUUCAUUUCCGAGGGGACUCAGGAGCGAGCCACACCCGAAUGGUAGAGAGAUCUCAGGGCUGACUCUUUUAUUUUUGUAGUUUUGUUCUGCAAGGCACAGACCUUCUGUUCUCACCUGGCCCGGGAUGUGGGUGAGGACACAGGAUGAGUAGGGUGGGGGGCGCUUGUUCUUUUUGAUGAGUUCAGUUCUUUGUAACCUUCCUGAACAAAGCAGAGACUGCCCGCUGGGCAUUUGCAGAAAGGACGCCCCUCUGGUGACUCCCAGCGGGCGGCCUCAAAGGCCCAGUCCCGAGGAACCUGUGGAACAUUCCCUGAGGGAACCUGUCCGGUGAGGCCAGCACACGGGGUCUAAUGCAGUGACCGAAGAAGCUGCCCCCGAGCCUGUGCGGAAUCUGAGUUCUCAUUCCGCUUGAGCUCUUCUUCCCUGAGGCAGAAACCCAUUUCUGCAGGCAAGCAGAUGCUUGACAGUAAGUUCCUGAGACUUGAUCACCAUUCGGUGUUUCCGUCUGUACCUGCGGCUCUCGGCCACGGGAGAACCAUUUGGCGGGUGUGACGCCCUCUUUCGCUCGGACUGGUUGGCCAUCUUACCUUUGUACCUCGGUGUACCUGAGGGAGCAGAGGGGGUGUCUUAACCUUGCUUCACUGUGUGGCCCCCAUUUGGCUGGAGAAGCAUCGAGACCCGGCCAGGUAGCAGCAGGGCCGGCAGCCAGUUCAGAUGCGUGUCGCCGCGCUGGUGGGACUGGCGUUGUCCUGGAUCUUUACGUGGCGGGAGGGUCGCCGCUGUGUGAGGGUCUCCGUGCUGCAUUGCUGUCUUGGAAAAGGUGCGGAAACGCACCCGUGUUUUAUUUGUAAAGGAGCAGCUUGAACAGGGCAGGUGGCAUGCAGCAUCGCAUGGUGGGCUUGGCAGCACCUUUUCUGUGUAUCUGUGAGGAAGGCUGCUUUCUGUGAAAUUUCUUUUCUAUUUUUCUAUUUUUAGUACUGUAUGGAUAUUACUGAGCACCACACAUGAUACGUCUGUGCUUGCUUGCAUCUUUAAUAAAGACACGUCCCAUGCCUUG